UACACUCCUGCGGGAGGCAGCAGUGAGGAAUAUUGGACAAUGGGUGGAAGCCUGAUCCAGCCAUCCCGCGUGCAGGAAGACGGCCCUAUGGGUUGUAAACUGCUUUUAUCUGGGGAUAAACCUACUUACGUGUAAGUAGCUGAAGGUACCAGAAGAAUAAGCACCGGCUAACUCCGUGCCAGCAGCCGCGGUAAUACGGAGGGUGCAAGCGUUAUCCGGAUUUAUUGGGUUUAAAGGGUCCGUAGGCGGACUGAUAAGUCAGUGGUGAAAUCCGACAGCUUAACUGUCGAACUGCCAUUGAUACUGUUAGUCUUGAGUAAGGUUGAAGUGGCUGGAAUAAGUAGUGUAGCGGUGAAAUGCAUAGAUAUUACUUAGAACACCAAUUGCGAAGGCAGGUCACUAAGUCUUAACUGACGCUGAUGGACGAAAGCGUGGGGAGCGAACAGGAUUAGAAACCCGUGUAGUCCC
rnacentral:rRNA from 1 species